CCUACGGGGGGCUGCAGUGAGGAAUAUUGGUCAAUGGGCGCAAGCCUGAACCAGCCAAGUCGCGUGAGGGAUGACGGUCCUAUGGAUUGUAAACCUCUUUUGUCGGGGAGCAAGGCCCGCCACGUGUGGCGGGAAGGAGAGUACCCGAAGAAAAAGCAUCGGCUAACUCCGUGCCAGCAGCCGCGGUAAUACGGAGGAUGCGAGCGUUAUCCGGAUUUAUUGGGUUUAAAGGGUGCGUAGGCGGAAGGUUAAGUCAGCGGUAAAAUGUCGGUGCUCAACACCGGCCUGCCGUUGAAACUGGUCUUCUUGAGUGAGCGAGAAGUAUGCGGAAUGCGGGGUGUAGCGGUGAAAUGCAUAGAUAUCACGCAGAACUCCGAUUGCGAAGGCAGCAUACCGGCGCUCAACUGACGCUGAGGAACGAAAGCGUGGGGAUCGAACAGGAUUAGAUACCCCGGUAGU
rnacentral:rRNA from 1 species